rnacentral:rRNA from 1 species
GACCCCAGGUCAUGGCGGGGUUACCCGCUGAGUUUAAGCAUAUCAAUAAGCCGGAGGA